AGCAGCCGCGGUAAUUCCAGCUCCAAUAGCGUAUAUUAAAGUUGUUGCAGUUAAAAAGCUCGUAGUUGAAUUUCGGGAUUGACGUGAUGGUCAUGCCUUAAGGGGUAUGAACUGUUACUGUUGAUUUCUCACCUUCUGGAGAAACUUGAUGUCCUUUAUUGGGUGUCUUGCGGAUCCAGGACCUUUACCUUGAAAAAAUUUAGAGUGUUUAAAGCAGGCAUUUUUGCUCGAAUACAUUAGCAUGGAAUAAUAGAAUAGGACGGCAUGGUUCUAUUUUGUUGGUUUCUAGGAUCACCGUAAUGAUUAAUAGGGAUAGUUGGGGGCAUUAGUAUUCAAUUGUCAGAGGUGAAAUUCUUGGAUUUAUUGAAGACUAACUACUGCGAAAGCAUUUGCCAAGGAUGUUUUCAUUAAUCAAGAACGAAAGUUAGGGGAUCGAAGACGAUCAGAUACCGUCGUAGUCUUAACCAUAAACUAUGCCGACUAGGGAUCGGAUGAUGUUUAUUUUUUUAGUGACUCAUUC
rnacentral:misc_RNA from 1 species